UGGAUAAUAGUUCUCACCCCCGUGUUGUUUUUGGGGGUACAGGUUCACACGUGAGCGGUGCGGCGGCGCAAAGAAAAGGCGUAGUUCCAUAGAUAGCGCCCUACCACCGAUACCAGAGAUAGCAGUAUCCUGAGUCGACUACUUAGGGAUGUAAAAGAGAAAGAAUAGAACAAUGUUGUAAUAAAUUGUAGUAACUUGGAUUGUAUUCGGAAGCUAAAAAGAGAAUAUAAAAUGUAAUAUGUGAUGUAAAGUGUGAAUUGAGACAAAUGCUUGUAAUAGUAUAGUUGUAUUAUGUUUU
rnacentral:lncRNA from 1 species